UGCCUGCCGGCUGCACAAGAGGAAGCCCACUCACAGGGAAAAUGCUGACAGUCCUCCAGUCCUCUCCUUGAGGCCACACACCUUGGUCUGCCCCCCUGUAUGCCUCUGACACUCUCCGAGUCACCGUCUUUCCCCCAGAGCCCAAGAUGCUGAACUUGAUCCCACUACAUUGAUUGCAAAGUCUACUACCAUGUUGCCACCAUAGAUGGAACAGCGACAUGCUGUGGCCCCAAAGUCACCAUGACCGAGCUGACACUUACGUGGUCCCUGAAGAGGCACAUGUUGGACACCACACCUUUGGAUUUGGGCAAAGGUCAGACGAGUGAGCAUCAUCGUGUUUUAGCGACGAUGGCUGGAAGGUUGGAUUGGCUGUUUCGAAGCUGGGUGUUGACCUUUUGUCUUGGGAACUUCGGGUAACCUAAAGUUGGGAUAAGUGUCUUGCUUAAAUGGAAGCUUUGCUUAAAACCCCACUGUGGAGAAGAGUGAAUUUGUGUUUUGGGGUCCAUA